rnacentral:tRNA from 1 species
UAAAAUGGUUAUAAGAAAUAACAAAAUUUUCAUUGUAAAUGAAACAUCAAAUUGAUUUCAUUUU